UACGUAGGCAGCAAGCGUUGUUCGGAAUUACUGGGCGUAAAGAGUGUGUAGGCGGUUCUGCAAGUCUGGUGUGAAAUCUCCCGGCUCAACUGGGAGGGUGCGCCGGAAACUGCAGUGCUAGAGGGUGGGAGAGGUAAGCGGAAUUCCUGGUGUAGCGGUGAAAUGCGUAGAUAUCAGGAGGAACACCUGUGGUGUAGACAGCUUACUGGACCACUUCUGACGCUGAGACACGAAAGCGUGGGUAGCAAACAGG
rnacentral:rRNA from 1 species